rnacentral:ncRNA from 1 species
ACAGUUUGAAUCUGGCUGAAAACUUGGCUAAUGUGAAUCAAUAUACAUGUAAGCUUUAGCUGCCCCGCAACUAUAAAACCCUAUAAGGAUAUAAACUACAUCAAAAUUUUUAUACGUAGUAGCGCGCCACAGUAAAUAACCCUAGUAUUUUGUAAAAGCAAGAACUGGAUAUCAGUUUAAGGGUUGGCAAAAUUCGUGCCAGCUGCCGCGGUUAGACGACAGACCCAAGCCAACCUAAGCACGACUAAAUAAAUGAUGACUUAAACAGUAUUCAAGGUCUAAUUUAACAGCCCUAGAACCCUACUCAUCAAAAUCCUGUGAAGACAUAAACUAAAACACGGAUUAGAUACCCGUCUAUUUAUGUAAUAAAUGCCGGUCGAAGAAUAUGAACCACAGUUUAAAACUCAAAGAUUUUGGCGGUGUCUUACCAGACCAGGGGAACCUGUCUCAUAACUCGAUAAUCCACGAAUACCUUACCCCUCCUAGAUUACUCAGUUUGUGUACUGCCGUCGUAAGCACUCCUUUAAAAGUAGUUAAGUAUGCAACCAUGAUCACCUCAUUUACGUCAGGUCAAAGUGCAGCUAAUGGAGAGGUGGUGAUGGGUUACACCCUAAAUAAAGACUACGGAAUACUCUAUCAAACAAUUUAUAUGAAGGUGGACUUGGAUGUAAUAAUAGUCUUCAACUAUACUGAAAUUGAAUCUAAGACAUGCACACAUCGCCCGUCACUCUCGCCCAAAGGUGGGAUAAGUCGUAACAAAGUAGGUGUAACGGAAGUUGCACCUGU